rnacentral:lncRNA from 1 species
CCAGAAUGUAAACAUGUAGUGGCUGUUCGAGGCCAGGUUCUCUGCUAGCCUCACCUGGAGUUCCUCUCCCUGGAGAGGGGAUGCACUGUUGCAAUAGCCAAGACAUGGAGGCAAUGGAAAUGCUCAUCAACAGAUGAAUAGAUAAAGAAAAUGUGAUACAUUAUACAGAGGAAUACCACUCAGCCAUAAAAAAGAAUGAAAUAAGGCCAUUUGCAGCAACAUGGAUGGACCUAGAGACUAUCAUACUAAGUAAACUGAGACAGGCUGGGACCUGGGACCUGGGACCUUUGCUACAGUGACUGUGGUGCUUGUACCUGGACAAACUACAAGGGACUAAAAAUAACAGUGGAUAUAUGCAGUUGAGGAAAUUUAUGG